CAGGAUUGUUUUGGAAAGGAAGGUCUUGGUCUGGGUUGAAGGACGGAAAGACAGAAAUCCCUUUCUGCAGCGCAGAGCUGAAAUGGCUCCUCAGACAUCUCCCGUGCCUCCAGAGAACCUUGAUGGAGACGGUCAUGCUGAGCCAGAAACUAAAUGAACCGGAGCAUAGAUCUGCUGUGUCAUUCUCUCGCCAGCAAGAUCCAAGAAUGAACCAACGGGAGCACAAGGAAUGGGCCUGACAGAAGCCUCUGCCCUUUCCAAGUGUGGGAGCUGGGUCUCCCUCGAUGGGAAUUAGGCUGGGAUGUAUGUCCAGUGAGUCUUAAGGAAAGUGGCUAUGGGCUGAAGCCGGACAAGACAAGACCUGGCCGCCAUACCCCUCUGCUUGCCCCAGUCGUGUUUGGAUAUGCUUCAAGAGGCUGUCUGUUCUCUAGUCCUGAGAAACUAGAAUGUAGGGUCUUUGCUUUGUAAGCUCAUCCAGUAUUCCCAUGGGUUACUUAAUGGAACUCAAUGCACUGUUAGUUCCUGAAACCCCAACAAUCCCCAACAAUGAGUCAACAGAUGAAAACAUCUCCCUCAUCUGCUACCCAAGUUCCUAACGAAGCUCUCGAGACAAAGCCCUAGGGCUCUCCCAUCCCUAUCUCUUGGUACCUCAGAGAGAAUUUCAAAAGGAUGGUCCCAGGAGACUUGGGGCAAGGGAAUUGCUUUUCUUGGGGCUGAUAAAUAUCCAAAGCUCUAAAGUCUGGAGUUUAUGAGGUUGAAUUUUUUUUCCUGGGCCAUUUCCCAAGCCAAAGGAAUCACUGUCCUCAGCUUCAAGCAACAUGGCAAUCAUUUGAGGUUUUCUCUGAUACUAGAGAAGCCUGAAUUGUCCUUGCUUUGUACAUUUUAGCUUCCCUGGUACAUGGCUCUUGAACACAAGGUGUUUCUACUGGCUUCCUUUGAAUAGAUUCAGCCCUUUCGAUGACUUUUAAAAAAUCACUGUCUGGAAAGUGAUUCCUUCUUCCUUUCACCGAGGUCAGAAGCAGUGAGUGGCUGCGGGUGGGACUUCAGUGAAAAUGGAGUGAGUGUCAUGUGUGUUUUCUAACUUUUUAUUAUUUUCCAAGUUUUUCAUUAUUUUUUGACUGUAUUGAUUCUCAUGACACAAAUAUUAUCUUUUCUUCAUGCUGAUCUUGCUGUGGUGAUGGAUUCAAGGACAUGAGAGAGGACAUGACAGUAAUCUUCCACUAUCGGGCUGAAAAGGAAACAGAAGAGUUCAGCCAUCCCGGAGCAGACUCCUCGCUGGCACAGACAUGGAAUCGGGCAUGAGGGGACCAGCUCAAGCUCAGUCACUAUAGAAGCACAUGUUGUGUGAAGGCGCAGGUUUCGGCACAGCUGUCCUGCUAGAAGAGGAAGUGUCCUACAUCAACCCCCGUUUCCAUCUUCUCGGCAGAUCUCAUCCGUGUACAGGCAGCAAACACCAGUCGUGGAACAGGAAACCCGGCUGACUCAUCCAGGGUAACUGAUAACAGCCCAGAGCACCCCACAUCCCCCGCCGCCGAUCACACUCUGCGACGUCUCCCACGGGACACUUGUGUCUGCAGUGAGGGCAUCGCAAUGGCUCUUCCGGAGCCACGGCUCGGCUGUGCUGGACCCGUGCUCUGAGCCAGAGCACAUCUGAUGAGGGGAACAGUGUGCACGCCCCGAGACCCCCUCCUCUGCACUCCCCUUGUGCAGCUCUUGGGUCCAGGACCAGCUUCCCACCGCGUGUCCCCCAUGGCUGCAACGUCACGAUCCCGGGAUUACUUACCGUAGACUUAUUUCCACUUAAGCCUCCUGAGAGAAGAGGGCUUAAUCAUCAUAAAAUCAACUGUUUUUCUCUCUUGCUUAGGAAAGCAAAUUUAGCAAAUAUUAUGGCCUGGGAAUAAAUUAGAGAAUAACGGCUAACUUAAUCAAGGGAGGCACAGUCUAGAAGCUCUAUGAAGUCCUGAAGUGAGUGAGUUUUGCUGUAUAGUAGGAAAUGGGAAAACAGCAUGUACUCUUGUUUCCUUAGAUACAAAUGUUUCUUAAAAUUCUCACCCUAGACAAAGAAUAGGAAGAGAGAAUUUAGGGAGAGGGAGCUAGGGGGAGAUUAUAGACUUUAAUAUUGAGAGAGAGAAGGAGAGCACCUGUCGGGAGUGGGGGGGGGGGGGGAGAGGGAAGGAAGGGAGAGAGCAAGCGAGCCCUUCACUCAGUACAGCAGGAAUUAGGGGAAUGACAUAGUCCCUGUGAUCUAAUUAUCCCCUGUGUGUGAUUUGUGACCUUGCUAAUGUACGAACCUGGGGCAAAAUAGCAUGGUUUGCCCAAGAGUGGUGUUUUGAAUAUCUGAUCAGCAGUAGUGACAUGAUAGAGAGGGUGAGCGUCUCGAACUUGAGAAGAUGAGGCAGGAAUAGACAGGAAUAGGAAUAGGAAAUAGGAAAUAGGAAUAGGAAAAAAAACAAAGGGUGCCAGAACAUCUAAUGCGUUGUUUUUGCCGCUAACGGAAACUAACUUUCUGUAACGUUUGCCCGUCACAAAGUCCAUUUUGCUUUUAACUGGCCUCACCCAACCUUCAAACCGACUCUUUCUAGACUCAUAUAAUUUUUAAUCCCGAUUUCAUAGGUGGAAAAACUGAGGAUCAGGGUUCAGUGACCUCACAAAGCUCCCUAUAAGGUUUUGUAUUCCUUCCUCCCUGCCCUGUGACCCAGACUGAAGGAUUGAGAAGGAUCACAGACGGAACGCCCCAACCCCACAGUAACUUCUCUUUUUCUAGUAAAAGCUGCCCGUCCCUUUUUGUCCCCUCAGGUCAGAGGUAAUGGUGUUCCCACCCAGUAAGCACCCCACUCUCCUUUCUCUAUCCUGGGCCUUCCUUAUGCCAGGCACAUCCUUACUCCCCAGCAUCUGUGGUGGUUUUAAAACUAUGUCCCAAAAUAACUCUCCUCUCCUUGAUUGUGGGUUAACUCACUUGUACUGAGGGGAAUACAGCCCAACUGAGGUGUAUGGUUUCUAAGAUCGGACUGCAGGAAGACUGACUUCCACGCUAGGCCCUUUCCCCCUCUGUGCUGGUCGCUCCCUGUUGGGGAAGCAGGCGCCAUGUGGUGUAGAAAGGCCCACGUGGUGAGGAGUGAAGUAGCCGGUGAGGAUCAGAGGCCCCCAACCCAACAGAAUGGACCCUGACGAUGACCACGUGGGCCAGCGUGGACACAGGGUCUUUUCCUGGUCAAGCCCGAGGUGAAGAUCCUCCCUGAUUUUUGACCCACAGAAAGCGUGAGAUACCAAGGGCUUGUGUUCAAAGCUGGGGGGUUUUGAGGUGCUUGGCCUGCAGCGGUGGGUAACUUCUAAGUCAUCCUUCAUUCGCAUUUUCCUUAAAACAGCAGCAGCAAUGGCAACACCACAAGGUGCCAUGCUCCUGUCCCCCUGGGGAUGUCAGGAAAUGUCUUCCCAACAAGGCUUACCACCUGCCUGACUGUGUCACAUCUCCUCCUGGUGAGGAGCAAGGCACCCACAGGAAGCUUCUCCACCGAGCUCUCCUUGGGUCUCAGGAGCAAUGCCCCCCACCCGUCUGGCUCCCUAGGUUAUAUGUUUAGGGACACCGCCUUUGUUCCAGCAACAGAGGACAGCGUUUUUAUUGGUUUAAUUACCUGAACCGGGAUAUGAUCAGAAAUGAAUGUGUUUACUUCGCUA